rnacentral:rRNA from 1 species
CACGUAGGGGGCAAGCGUUGUCCGGAUUUAUUGGGCGUAAAGAGCUCGUAGGCGGUUCGGUAAGUCGGGUGUGAAACCUCCAGGCUCAACCUGGAGACGCCACCCGAUACUGCUGUGACUAGAGUCCGGUAGGGGAGCGUGGAAUUCCUGGUGUAGUGGUGAAAUGCGCAGAUAUCAGGAGGAACACCAGCGGCGAAGGCGGCGCUCUGGGCCGGAACUGACGCUGAGGAGCGAAAGCGUGGGGAGCAAACAGG